rnacentral:rRNA from 1 species
UACGAAGGGGGCUAGCGUUGUUCGGAAUUACUGGGCGUAAAGCGCGCGCAGGCGGUUCUUCAAGUCAGUGGUGAAAGCCCGGAGCUCAACUCCGGAACUGCCAUUGAAACUGUAGAACUUGAGGGCUUCAGAGGGAUGUGGAAUUCCAGGUGGAGUGGUGAAAUGCGUAGAGAUCUGGAAGAACACCAAAGGCGAAGGCAGCAUCCUGGGAAGUUCCUGACGCUCGGGUGCGAAAGCCAGGGGAGCGAACGGG